rnacentral:rRNA from 1 species
UAGCCGAACUGAGAGGUUGAUCGGCCACAUUGGGACUGAGACACGGCCCAAACUCCUACGGGAGGCAGCAGUAGGGAAUCUUCCACAAUGGACGAAAGUCUGAUGGAGCAACGCCGCGUGAAUGAAGAAGGCCUUCGGGUCGUAAAAUUCUGUUGUCAGAGAAGAAUGUGCGUGAGAGUAACUGUUCACGUAUUGACGGUAUCUGACCAGAAAGCCACGGCUAACUACGUGCCAGCAGCCGCGGUAAUACGUAGGUGGCAAGCGUUGUCCGGAUUUAUUGGGCGUAAAGGGAACGCAGGCGGUCUUUUAAGUCUGAUGUGAAAGCCUUCGGCUUAACCGAAGUAGUGCAUUGGAAACUGGAAGACUUGAGUGCAGAAGAGGAGAGUGGAACUCCAUGUGUAGCGGUGAAAUGCGUAGAUAUAUGGAAGAACACCAGUGGCGAAAGCGGCUCUCUGGUCUGUAACUGACGCUGAGGUUCGAAAGCGUGGGUAGCAAACAGGAUUAGAUACCCUGGUAGUCCACGCCGUAAACGAUGAGUGCUAAGUGUUGGAGGGUUUCCGCCCUUCAGUGCUGCAGCUAACGCAUUAAGCACUCCGCCUGGGGAGUACGGUCGCAAGACUGAAACUCAAAGGAAUUGACGGGGGCCCGCACAUGCGGUGGAGCAUGUGGUUUAAUUCGAAGCAACGCGAAGAACCUUACCAGGUCUUGACAUCUUCUGACAAUUCCAGAGAUGGAACGUUCCCUUCGGGGACAGAAUGACAGGUGGUGCAUGGUUGUCGUCAGCUCGUGUCGUGAGAUGUUGGGUUAAGUCCCGCAACGAGCGCAACCCUUAUUGUCAGUUGCCAUCAUUAAGUUGGGCACUCUGGCGAGACUGCCGGUGACAAACCGGAGGAAGGUGGGGAUGACGUCAAAUCAUCAUGCCCCUUAUGACCUGGGCUACACACGUGCUACAAUGGACGGUACAACGAGUCGCUAACUCGCGAGGGCAAGCUAAUCUCUUAAAGCCGUUCUCAGUUCGGAUUGCAGGCUGCAACUCGCCUGCAUGAAGUCGGAAUCGCUAGUAAUCGCGAAUCAGCAUGUCGCGGUGAAUACGUUCCCGGGCCCUGUACACACCGCCCGUCACACCAUGAGAGUUUGUAACACCCAAAGUCGGUGGGGUAACCUUUUGGAGCCAGCCGCCUAAGGUGGGACAGAUGAUUGGGGUGAAGUCGUAACAAGGUA